UGGGGAAUUUUGGACAAUGGGCGCAAGCCUGAUCCAGCCAUUCCGCGUGCAGGACGAAGGCCUUCGGGUUGUAAACUGCUUUUGUACGGAACGAAAAGGCUCUGGCUAAUACCUGGGGCUCAUGACGGUACCGUAAGAAUAAGCACCGGCUAACUACGCGCCAGCAGCCGCGGUAAUACGUAGGGUGCAAGCGUUAAUCGGAAUUACUGGGCGUAAAGCGUGCGCAGGCGGUUAUGUAAGACAGAGGUGAAAUCCCCGGGCUCAACCUGGGAACUGCCUUUGUGACUGCAUAGCUGGAGUACGGCAGAGGGGGAUGGAAUUCCGCGUGUAGCAGUGAAAUGCGUAGAUAUGCGGAGGAACACCGAUGGCGAAGGCAAUCCCCUGGGCCUGUACUGACGCUCAUGCACGAAAGCGUGGGGAGCAAACA
rnacentral:rRNA from 1 species